rnacentral:ncRNA from 1 species
UUUAGCCGCUUAAACGGUGACAAGCACAGUCGUCCUAACUGGAAACGGUUAGGAGUAUGACCGGGUGAAUUGCUGGAAACCCCUAAGAGCCUUUGGCGCCACAACGAAGCUGGAAACGGCAAGCGUGACGGCUUAAAAAGUCAAAGGAUUGGGCAACCAGCAGCCAAGCUCCUGUGGCGAAAGCCUGGAGAAGGUUCAACGACUAGGACAUACCACCUAAGGCGCGAGCGAUGGUGAUGAAGUCCGUAGGGUGAGUAGGAUGCUCCAUCGUCCUACAUCAUUCGAAGUGCCCGGCCCCUACCUAGCGGAAAGCUAGCGGGUGAAGAGAUAGUCUAGUCAUUUGCGAAAGCAAAUG